rnacentral:rRNA from 1 species
UACGUAGGGGGCUAGCGUUGUUCGGAAUCACUGGGCGUAAAGGGCGCGUAGGCGGCUUUAUAAGUCGGGGGUGAAAGCCUGUGGCUCAACCACAGAAUUGCCUUCGAUACUGUAGAGCUUGAGACCGGAAGAGGUAAGUGGAACUGCGAGUGUAGAGGUGAAAUUCGUAGAUAUUCGCAAGAACACCAGUGGCGAAGGCGGCUUACUGGUCCGGUUCUGACGCUGAGGCGCGAAAGCGUGGGGAGCAACAGG